GUUGAUUUUGGCCAAUUUCAUGUCCACACGGCCUAAGACACGGGCGUGUAACUCAACCGUGUGUGACAAAGGUAGCCUGCGUUCCACAAUAUUGGUGUCCAAACUCGACAUAUCUUGGUAUGACCAUGUAAACACAUCUAAGAACUCAACAAGUAGAUCCUUCAAUAAUUGACUUUGAUCUGGCAUGAGAAUGGUUCCAAUCCAAAUUUCUUUUCUUACCUUAUCAUCACCCAGAUUGAUUAAAUUUGUUCCCUCCAAGUACGGUUCUAUAAGCUUCUUUUCUUAUUCAACUAGCCUCAAAAACUCAUCUAGUA
rnacentral:lncRNA from 1 species